CGGAACACGUACGCAACUUUCCUUCAAGCGGGGAAUAGCCCAGAGAAAUUUGGAUUAAUACCCCAUAAUAUAAUGAGAAAGCAUUUUCUUAUUAUUAAAGAUUUAUCACUUGAAGAUGGGCGUGCGGCUGAUUAGGUAGUUGGCGGGGUAACGGCCCACCAAGCCUACGAUCAGUAGCUGAUGUGAGAGCAUGAUCAGCCACACGGGCACUGAGACACGGGCCCG
rnacentral:rRNA from 1 species